rnacentral:lncRNA from 1 species
UUAUGACUGAUUUAUGUAGCUUAAACACAAACAUGACGUUUUCUGAAGAACAAUAUGGAAAUACAUUUCUGUAAACAUAUUCCACAUGUUUUACAACAGCAGCUGACUUAUAACCUUACCCUUGCUGGGAGGAUGUUAGUGAGAGAGCUGGCAGUGUUAAACACACAGAUGUUCAUGAUGGAUCAGCCUGUUCUCAUCUGUUUCACUCUUGUUGGGAGGAUGGUGUGGGAGGAACUGUCUUCUCAAACUGAACAGGUAUCCAUUCAUAUGCAGAUACUUCAGAUGUUUCCUUAACCUUUGAACACAGACCUGUG